GACGAACGCUGGCGGCGUGCUUAACACAUGCAAGUCGAACGGGCUUUGCCGCUUUGGUGGUGAAGUUAGUGGCGAACGGGUGAGUAACACGUGGGUAACCUGCCCUGUACUUUGGGAUAAGCCUGGGAAACUGGGUCUAAUACCGGAUAGGACCUUCUGCCGCAUGGUGGGGGGUGGAAAGUUCCGGCGGUACGGGUUGGGCCCGCGGCCUAUCAGCUUGUUGGUGCGGUAGUGGCGUACCAAGGCGA
rnacentral:rRNA from 1 species